rnacentral:lncRNA from 1 species
CAAAAUUCACUCUAUAUGAUUUGUUGCAGCUGUACAAGUUUCAGACUAUUUUCAAGUGUUUUCGCUCGAGUUGGGUGUGUUUCGUGUUCAUAAAUGAUAUAAAAUUGAUUUUGAACUUUUUCUUAACAAAUUAAAUUUUCGGAAUGCAAUCGCUCAUAACAUGCAUGACAAAACCGAUAACUGGCAUUUGAAAUAGCCGAACUCAAUACCCAGAUUUUUUUGAACAAAUUCAGGGGAAUUUCAACUCGAAUAACAGUAUCGAAACCGGCUAGAUCCAAACUCAUUAGCUACCCAAGUUACCAGCAUUCCAACAAUAAGAACAGGUACUAAUUCAAGGCUUGUAGGGUAUGAAUGGACAAAAGAAGCUUCAACGGUAAAAAAGAAGAAACCAUUGGAAAUGACAGAACACUGAAGAGCUACGUGACAAAACAUGAAACAGAAAGACAAGGCGGAGAUGAAGAAGAAGAAGAAGACAACACAAGAUCCCAUUUUUUCCUCCAUGGAAGUUCAGAGACAUCUAUCUCCAUAAAUACAAAAAAUUGAGUGAAAAUUCCCUAUGAACAAAAGACCAUCGUAUCCUCCUAGCUAGCUUGAUCCUACGGUCAUCUUUGAUGUUUGAUUUUGGAAUAGAGGGGUUGUGAUAAAAUGGAUGGAACUAUAUACAUGAGAAAAAUCAAAAAUUAAAAUCACAGUUUUUUAAGUUAUGGUGAGAUUUGGCAUUAAUAUGGGCUAAUAUACUCAUAAUUUAAUUUAUUUUUUUAUUUAUUCAAAGAGAAAUCCAACAUUUGUCUUCCACAAUACUGAAACAAACUACUUUUUUUCAUAAAAAGAAAAAGAAAGGUAUGUACAACAACCACUAAUGAAUAAAAGACCAUCGUAUCCUCCUACCUUGAUCCUACGGUCAUCUUUGAUGUUUGAUUUUAAAAUAGAGGGAUCGUGAUAAAAUGGAUGGGACUGAUACAUGAGUAAAAUCGAAAAUAUAAUCACAUUUUUUAAAGAUUUUAUGAGAUUCGGUGCAUUAGUACAUGUCGAUA